rnacentral:rRNA from 1 species
UACGUAGGCGGCUAAAUAAGUCAGGUGUAAAAGGCAUUGGCUCAACCAAUGUAAGCACUUGAAACUGUUUGACUUGAGUAUAGGAGAGGUAAGUGGAAUUCCUAGUGUAGCGGUGAAAUGCGUAGAUAUUAGGAGGAACACCAGUGGCGAAGGCGACUUACUGGACUAUUACUGACGCUGAGGUACGAAAGACGCGGGUAGGCAAAACA